AAACCAUACAAACUGGGGUGCGGGAACGGAUAGCUUUGGCUGUACACACCUCAUAUGUGUUAGGACAAAGUUGUAUGAAUAUGCCUAUGUAGGUAAGAAACGGCAAUUUUCAGUAAAACGAGGAAACUGGCUUUAUUAAGUCCUUGCAGCCUCAGCCUCUCGGGCGUUCUUCGCAAUAAGUUCCUCAUACUCCUUGACAUUAUUUACACCCAAUGGCAUUCCGUUUGUCUGCAAGCCCUGUUCAUUCAUAUAAACCUCACGGACCUCCAUAGCCUUCUUCCACGACUCGCGAGCCUCCAUACGAUGUUGCCAUGCCUGUACAUUGGGAUACGGGGCCAGAGGGUCUUCUCCUGCAGGGGUUUCGAGUAGCAUGUUGAGGCGGUUAUUCCAAGGCAGGAAAGCCAAGUCAGCAUAGGUGCACUUGUCACCGACAAGCCACUGCUUGCCGUCAAGGGCAGUAUUUAGGACGCCCAGAACGCGGCGAACAUGUUCCUGAUAACGCUCAAUGGCGGAGGGGAUUUUCUCAUGAUGCAGGACGGUGAACCUGCAGGCCGAGAAUGAGAUGCCAUCAGAUGAAUAUUCACGGUAGAACAGGGGAAAGUGUAUGGAAGCAUACCAUCCGGCCUGCCCAUAGUAUGGGCCCUGGCC
rnacentral:sRNA from 2 species